AUCUCUGUAGAGUCUGCAUAUCAAUAAGCGGAGGAAAAGAAACUAACUAGGAUUCCCUCAGUAACGGCGAGUGAAGCGGGAAGAGCUCAAAUUUGAAAUCUUCAAGGUUCUACCUUGACGAAUUGUAGUUUAAAGAAGUGUUUUCUGUUGGAGUUUUGGUAAAAGUUCUUUGGAAUAGGACAUCAUAGAGGGUGAGAAUCCCGUAUUUGACCAUUAUUUCCAGCUUUGUGAUACACUUUCAAAGAGUCGGAUUGUUUGGGAAUGCAGUCCAAAAUGGGUGGUAAAUUUCAUCUAAAGCUAAAUAUUGGCGAGAGACCGAUAGCGAACAAGUACCGUGAGGGAAAGAUGAAAAGAACUUUGAAAAGAGAGUUAAACAGUACGUGAAAUUGUCAAAAGGGAAGCGUUUGACACCAGUGUUGUUUUUUCCGAAAAUCAAUUACGAAUGGCUUGAUUCUGUGUUGUAUUGACCUUAUCAGCUUUCUUCACUUUUUUCGAGUCUUUCUUAAUGCACUUUUCGGUUAACAAGUCAACAUCAAUUUCUUUUGUUGUAAAAGAGUAUUCGGAAGGUGGCUUUCUUUUCGGAGAAAGUGUUUAUAGCCCUAUACUUCUACAAUCGGAGAGAUUGAGGUCUGCAGCGUAGAUCCUUCGGGGUUAGAUACACUUGUGCUAAGUUGUAGCUUUUCAUAGACAACUUGUUGACUAUGUUUAGUCAUGCGGCUUACUCGCUUGUGCUAUUUUACCUACGCUUAGGAUGUUGAAGAUGUAGCACAUCAU
rnacentral:rRNA from 1 species